GGGGGCGACCGGUUUCGACGGGGCAAGAUAAUGAUAAGAUUGCAUACAGAGGUUCGGGAUCCUCUUUAAUAACCCCGGAAAAUCAAUAAAUGCCGAUUACGGCUACAUGGCAGCUGCUUAAUUAGCUCUGCCCGUUCUGGAUUGAGUUUGUCUGUGGUUUAAUCUAAGAGCGUCAUAAACGCAGGCUGGUCCCUGGAUUUGUUUACUAGAAAGGGAUAAGAUAUUUUGUAAACUGGUUAAUAUAAAGGUUGUUAUUUGUCCUUUAUAUUAAUGAGAAAUAAUCAGAUAACUAAGUAUGUAGACGUUUUAUUAGCGUCUGUCUCGGACGGGAGUUCGAAUCUCCCCGCCUCCACAA
rnacentral:tmRNA from 1 species